UACGAAGGGUGCUAGCGUUAUUCGGAAUAACUGGGCGUAAAGAGCGUGUCGGCGGUCUUUUAAGUCAACUGUAAAAGAGCUCGGCUUAACCGAGUAAAUGCGGGUGAUACUGGAAGACUAGAGUGCGGGAGAGAAAGGUAGAAUUCUCGGAGUAGCGGUAAAAUGCGUAGAUCUCGAGAGGAAUACCGGUUGCGAAGGCGGCCUUUUGGCCCGUAACUGACGCUUAAGCGCGAAAGCGUGGGGAGCAAACAGG
rnacentral:rRNA from 1 species